AUGCCAUGAUGAGGGCACGCAGUGAUGUACUCUUGGAGGCAUUCCCAUGCAUCUGAGAUGGACUCAUCAGUAUGUUGCUGGAAGCUUGAAAUCUUGUUCCAAGGGCAU
rfam:Dichanthelium oligosanthes cultivar Kellogg 1175 unplaced genomic scaffold Do_version_2_scaffold378, whole genome shotgun sequence.